rnacentral:rRNA from 1 species
AGCGGCGGACGGGUGAGUAACGCGUGGGUAACCUGCCUCAUACAGGGGGAUAACAGUUGGAAACGGCUGCUAAUACCGCAUAAGCGCACAGCACCGCAUGGUACGGUGUGAAAAACUCCGGUGGUAUGAGAUGGACCCGCGUCUGAUUAGGUAGUUGGUGGGGUAACGGCCUACCAAGCCGACGAUCAGUAGCCGACCUGAGAGGGUGACCGGCCACAUUGGGACUGAGACACGGCCCAA